CAAAAAAGAUUUUUGCAAUUUUUAAAUUCAGUUAAAGAAAAGUGCUUGUCCGUUAAGCACUUGCACACGGAUUAGAGCACAAAUAAAAAAUAUUAAAGAAUAAAAAAGGAAAACAAGAAGAAGAAAAUAAGAAAUAUUAUUAAAAAUUAUACAAAACAAGGAAAAGCAAAAAGAAAAUUAACAGAGAAAAAAGAAAAGAAGAGAAAAGAAAAUAUUGAAAACAUAAAGGAAAAAAAUGAAGGAAAAACUCUGAAUUUGCGAAUUUUUUAUUUUAUUUUUUUUUGGUUUUUUUUUUAAUAAAUGAGAGUGAGAGGUUAAUGUUCAAUUGAAAAUAAUUUUUUUUUAUGUAAUCACAAUAAAAAAAAAAAUAAAUUUGAAAAAUUUUGAAAAAAAUAUUUGAAAAAAUUACUCAAUACAAACCUAUUAAAAAUACCUUGAUAAAAAAAAGGAUAUUUUCUUUUUUUGAAUUCGAAAUUGGAGAAAAAAAAUGAAAAUAUAAAAUAAUAAAAAAAAACAAAGUUUUCUCCUUAAAUUUUUUUUGAAUUUUUCCUUAAAUUUGAUAAUUUUGAAUUUUAAAAAAAAAAAAAUUUUUUUUUUGAAAGCAAAAAGGGAUAAUAAAGGAUUUCUUUUUUUAGAAAAAAAUUUUCUGAUUUUUUUGUGUUAAAAAUAAAGAAAAAUAGAGAAAGGAAAAAGAGAGAUUUAAUCUUAAUCUCAUUGAAUUUUUUUGUUUUAUUUCUAAAUCUUUUUUAUAUUUACACUUGUGAUUCUAAUUUGUGAACUUUACAAUAAAAAUAAGAACAGAAGAAUUUAAAAAGGACAUCAUCAUGGCAACAAUUAAAAAUUUAUUUGGAUUAUUCAAUAUAUUUGGAUUAUUAAUAUUAUUAAUUAAUAUAACAGGUAACUACAUAUUUCCAUUAUUUAAUGAAAACAAGUUCUUCAGAUGUGCGACUGCUGGUAUUGUAAAGAAUUCAAAUAAUUUUUGUACCAAAUUUAGAAAAGGAUUAAAAGAAGCUGAUUUUUUCAGUAGGUGGUUAAUUUUGCACUUAAAAUAUUUUUCAAUAUCUUUGUUUUUCUUACCUUAUUUUUAAAUAUAAUUUUAGAAUUUGAUUUUUAAAGCUCAGAAAUUAUUGGGCGCCAUACUCUCUUAAAUUGUCGUCUUAAUUCGCUAUUUUUUUCCAAUUUUAAUUUUCCAUUCACACCCUGAAAAUCUAGAAAAGACAAGAUAUAGUUUUUAAGUGCAUACACUUAUUUUUAACUUAAAAUAAAAGUAAAGUAAAAUUACUUUUUAUCUUGUGUUGAACAGCUUGAAUUUAUUACUUUA